AUAAUAAGAAUUUUACCGUCCCGAUCAUUGAGUAAAUAGUUUAAUUGGUCCCUAGAGGGGUUUCGGGGACAAUUAUGUGCGGAGGAUAAUUCGUAUGGGGAAAAUACGACGACGGUAAAAAUAGUAAAUUUUAGCUAGUAAAAGGUAAUUUUUAUUCGGGUAUUAUUUUUCGGGGUGUUGAAUUUUGGAAUUUUUGGGUUAAAAGGAUUGUUGGGUCGGCUGGGCCGAGCCCAACCCAUUUCUUCUUCUUUUCUCUUCUCCCUCUCUCCCGAUUUUCUUUCCUCCCACCCAGUUUUCUCCUCUCUACACCCAGAAGAGUUCCGGCCGCCCUCCCGCCGCCGUCCGGCCGCCCCAGACCGCCGCACCGGUCCCAAACGAACGGCCUCCAACCCAGCUUCCAUUCUAGGCCGGUAGCAGCCCCCCUAGCGCCGCCGUGAGAGAGCGGUGCCGCCCGUAAGGAAAGGCUGUCCCGAACUUCCCUUCGCCGGAACUUCCUCCUCCGGCCACCAAUCCGGGCAAGCUUGGUACGGUUUUGUAGCCCUCCUCCCGUGCAACAACCCCUCCAAACAGCUCCCUCCCUCUUGAGCUAGGUAAGGAGAAAUUUGAGGUGGAAGUUUUAUGGUGUUUAAGUUGUUUUCGUUCGAUUAGCCUAGUUAGGCUUGGAAUUGGGUGAUGUGUUAGUCAUGAAAGUUGUAGAGGAGAUUGAGAGGAAGAUUCUGUUAAAAUUUGGUAGCAUUUGCAGCUCGUCGGAGUUGGUCGCCGGCCGCCGCUGCCGGCGGAGCCGCCGCUGUUUUGGGAAAUUUUGUGGUUUUUGAUGUAGAAUAUUAAGAGGAUAUUAUUGAGGUGAUUUAUGGAAUUUUUGGAUGAGAUUUGGAUAGGUUCGUGAAUUUCCGAAGUUUGGUAUUUUUGGCGGUUAAUUAAUGUAGAAUCCGGCCGUAGGAUUUAAGUCGUAUUUUGAGUAGGUGGUAUUUACGACUGUUGAGUAUGAUAAUUAAGUUCGGAUCGUUCCGAUUUAAGAAUAUCGAAGUUAGGCAAUGAUGAGCGUAAUUAUGGCUCUCGGGUAAUUUUGCCUAUUUUGAUUAAAUAUUGGAUUAUUGGUUGGGAAAUUAAUAUUAUAUUUGGAACAGGUCGUGAGGAGGCUCGAGCAGACGAGACCCCAGAUCGACAUCAGGCUUA
rnacentral:lncRNA from 1 species